GCUUACGGCCAUAUCACGUUGAAAGCACCGGUUCUCGUCCGAUUCACCGAAGUUAAGCAACAUCGAGCCUAGUUAGCACUUAGAUGGGUGACCGCUUGGGAAACCUAGGUGCUGUAAGCA
rnacentral:rRNA from 1 species